GUCGCUCUAACGAGCCGGCGUCGCCGCCAGGGGACGCUCGGGCCGCAGGAAGGUCGCUGGGUCGUGAGCUGGCGCCGGGGACGCCGAGCGACUGCGGGGUUUCCCUCAGCGUCCUGCUAUCCGGCUGCCCGCCGCGCUCCUUGGUAGUGUCCGUGGGAGCGCAGGCCUUGAAGAACCUCCUCGUGGCGGGCCCCCGAGGUAACUGCUGAGGCAGAUAAUGGCGCCUGGGCUGCGGUGGGGCUUGCCCUGCCGCCUGGCGGCUUUCUGCAGGGCCAGGAUAUACUUACUUUUCUGUAAACCAACUCUUCCUUAGCGCAGGAGAGGUGUCAAAGAGCUGGCGCGUCUCCAGAGCCCCGGGAGGAAGGCUGUAACGGCAGCCCCAUCGUAGACAGGGACAUUCGCAUCCCGAGCCCUGGAUCUCUGAAAACCAGCCCAGAAUUUGGAAGCUGGAAGGAACUUUAGAUCGUCCAUUCUGAGUGUCUCUCUUCGCUGGCGUUUUCCCACUGAGGUUAUGUAAACAUGAAGAGGAGCCUACAAGUGUCAAGGAAAAAACGACAGCUAACCACAGGGCAGGCCAUGGGCAAGAUAUCUCAGUGUUCUCCGCUCUCAUAGGUCAGGUCAUGACCCCCAGGAGACCUGGAGGACUGAAUGCUGCUGUCCCCAAGGAGGAGGCUGCCGUCUUAUCCCAGGAGGGAGAGCAGGUGAAGUCCCCAGGGGAGGAAGCACCUAGCCCCAUUCCUGCUGAGCAGGAGGUGGCAGGUACCCCAGACUGGGAGGUAAGGACAGCCCAGGGCUUCAACUGAACGUCUCCGGCAUGGGUCCGACUGAGCAGCCAUGGAGCACUGCAGAGUGGGAGGCAGCAGGGCAGGGAGGCAGUGCUGGAGGCUGGCUCAACCCCAAGACCAGCAGGCCAAGCUGCCAUCCCAGGGGAGCGAGGACGUCUGUGCAGAGCUGAGAGGCAGCAGCCAUAUGUGAACAGACUGGGCCUCAUCCUGGCCCCACCGACUUUGUGUGGACAGAGCCUGUUUCCCUGUCUGUGCAACACAGAACCUGCCUGAUCUCACUGCUGGAUCCCUCUUCUUCCUGCCAGGAAAAUAAAAAGGUUCAAAAAGAAGUUGCUGCGUAUCCAUCUGAGGCCUCUGAGGACAGCAAAGAGCAAAGGCCCUGGGACCGGGUCUCCGUGCCCAUGACAGAGCUCUGGCUGGACUGGUUCUGAGCCUCUAACACCCCCAAGACUCAGAACCGUGAAGAAAAUCUUUCCAAUAAAUCCAAGAGUUGCUGCUGCUAUAGGCCAGGCUGCCACCUUUCGGGGCCUCCGUCUUCAGACAAACCCAGCCUGGCUUCAUCCACACUCCCUGUCCCCACAGCUGCAGGAACAGCACUUCCUGCCACGGAGCCGUGUGACCACAGUGGAUUGUCUCUGGAGGGGCCCAAGGGGGCCCUGGCCACCCUUCUGAUUGACUCGGUGCCAGGGGACAGACCAACGUCCCUCUCGUGCUGACAGCCGGGCCGCACCCUGGCAUGAGGGCAUUUACAGAAAUGUUGGCGGAACUGCUGCCAGGGAGGCUGUAGGGUCCUCUGGCAAAAGAGGCCUCAGGUGGCUCCUCAGAGUGUCUGGUUCUCUGUCCCAGGCUGUUCCCUAAGAAGGUCUGCCCAGGACUCAGGUAAUCAUAUGCUCAUUAGAAACUCUUGGGCACUGCCUGUGUGCCCAGCCCAGCCCCUUAUGUCGGUGAGGACAGACGUGGAGGACAGCAGUCCCUGCCCUUGGUUGGGGCUCCAGGCCAGCAAGGGCCACAGCCCCAGAAGGCAGAGCAGGAAGACAGGACUCGGGGCAGGUGAAGCAGCCUUCUCGUUGGCAGAAGGGAAACAGAAGCCCAGGGUGGGGAAGGGUGGGCCCGGGGUCACAGGGGGUAAUGGCGGGCCCGGGGUCACACGGGGUAAUGGCAGAGCCAGGACUAGGGUCAGGGUCUCUGGCUCUCAGCUGCCCAUGCCACCUCCUCCUCCUCUGCCCGCCCCAGUGCCUCAUGGGCCCAAGGUUGACUCCCAUCCCUAGGGCAGGCCAGUGGCCCACAGGGCUCAUACAUGGCCCCUGGCCAAGCCUGUGGGCCCUGCCUGACCCCUACUGGGAGGAUGGUACCUAGGGUUGGAGCCAAACAAGUGUUCUCCUCCAGCGCCAGCCUGGCCCCGAGUGCAAACUCGUCACUGGUCAGGGGUCCGGACAGCAGCAUCCCUGAGGGCCCAGAGAGGUGGCCAGUCCUGUGGUGAGGUUGAGAGGGGUCAACGUGCUGGCGGUCCUUGCUUGCUCUCAGCGCCUCCUCGGCCUCAGCAUCUGCUCUGACCACACUUGAGGAGCCCUUCAGCCCAGCGCUGCACUGUAGGAGCCCCUCUCUGGGCUGGUGGAGGCUGGAGCCGGCUCCCUCUGCUUGUGGGGAGGUAUGGAGGGAGAGGCGUGGGCGGGAACCUGGGUUGCUCGCGGGCCAGCACCAGUUCUGGGUGGCCAGGGGCUCAGCGGGCCCUGCACUCACAGCGGCCGGCUGGUGCCUCCGGCCCCAGGCAGUGAGGGGCUUAGCACCUGGGCCAGCAGCUGCAGAGGGGGCGCCGGGUCCCCCAGUACUGCUGGCCGCCGGCACGCACCACACUUGAAUUGUCGCCAGGCCUCAGUUGCCUCCCCGCGGGGCAGGGCUCAGGACCUGCAGCCUGCCAUGCCCAAGCCUCCCUACGGUGGGCUCCCUGCAAGGCCCGAGCCUCCCGGAUGGGUGCCUCCCACUGCUCCACGGCACCUGGUCCCGUCCACUGCCCAAGGGCUGAGGAGUACAGGUGCCCAGUGUGGGACUGGCAGGCAGCUCUGCCUGUGGCCCUGGCAUAGGAUCCACUAGGCGAAGCUGGCUGGGCUCCUGAAUCAGGUGGGGACUUGGAGAACUUUUAUGUCUAGCCAGAGGAUUGUAUAUGCACCAAUCAGCACUCUGUGUGUAGCUCCGGGUUCGUGGAUGCACCAGUUAGCACUCUGUAUCUAGCUAAUCUGGUGGGGACUUGGGGAACCUUUAUUUCUAGCUAAAAGAUUGUAAAUACACCAAUCAGCACUCUGUGUCUAGCUCAAGGUUUGUAAACACACCAAUCAGCACCCUGUGUCUAACUCAAGGUUUGUAAACGCACCAAUCAGUGCUCUCUGUCUACUCUAUCUAGCUAAUCUAGUGGGGACUUGGACAACCUUUAUGUCUAGCUAAGGGAUUGUAAAUACACCAUUCAGCACUCUGUGUCUAGCUCAAGGUUUGUAAAUAUACCAAUCAGCACUCUGUGUCUAGCUCAGGGAUUGUAAAUGCACCAAUCAGCACCCUGUCAAAAUGGACCAAUCAACUCUCUGUAAGUGGACCAAUCCACUGUCUGUAAAAUGGGCCAAUCAGCAGGAUGUGGGUGGAGGGUCAGAUAAGGGAAUAAAAGCAGGCUGCCUGAAGUAGCAGCGGCAACCUGGUUGCCAUCCUUCUUUUGCUGUUUGCAGUAAGUCUUGCUGCUGCUCCCUCAUUGGGUCCACACUGCCUUUAUGAGUUGUAACACUGGAAGGACUGCAGUUUCACUCCUGAGGCCAGUGAGACCACAAACCCACCAGGAAGAAUGAACAACUCCGUACGUGCCGCCUUAAGAGCCGUAACACUCACUGUGAAGGUCUGCAGCUUCACUCCUGAAGCCAGCAAGACCAUGCACCCACCAGAAGGAAGAAACUCUGAACACGUCUUAACAUCAGAAGGAACAAACUCUGAACACACCAUCUUUAAGAACUGUAACACUCACUGCGAGGGUCCACGGCUUCAUUCUUGAAGUCAGUGAGACCAAGAACCCACCAAUUUUGGACACAAGGUGACAGGCUGAGGGCGGUGGCUCGGUCCUGGGUUUUCCUGGGGCCUUCCCAGGGAAUGUUCUGGCACCUGCCGACUGAGCCCUGGGAGGUAGCCCUGGCAUAUAGCUCCCUGAUGCCAUGAUUUGUCUUCCGUUUUGGGGUGUCAUAUAUGAAGGGAGGUGACUGUUGUGAUGGUGCUGGCAGGACUGCUGUCCCUGAUGUGGGGUGGGCUGAGUUAGGCCUGAAAUAUGGGCCUCCAGGCUGAGUCCUGCCCUCUCCACCACAUCCAGGGCUGACUGACACCUCUAGUCAGCCCAUUCUGGCCCCUUCCCCACAUGCCAGGACAAUGUAGUCCUUGUCACCAAUCUGGGCAGUCAGAGUUGGGUCAGUGGGGGACAUGGGAUUAUGGGCAAGGGUAACUGACAUCUGCUCAGCCUCAACGUACCCCUGUCUCAAAUGCGGCCAGGCGGUGGGGUAAGCAGGAAUGAGGCAGGGGUGGGGUUGCCCUGAGGAGGAUGAUCCCAACGAGGGCGUGGGCAGGGGACCCGAGUUGGAACUACCACAUUGCUUUAUUGUACAUCAGGGCCCCUGGCUAGGGAGCAGGCUGGGGACUAGGUACCCCAUUCUAGCGGGGCACAGCACAAAGCUCAUAGGGGGAUGGGGUCACCAGGAAAGCAAAGACACCAUGGUGGCUGGGCCGGGGCUGUCCGGUGGGCACCGAGAAGCUGAAGUGCUGCAGCAGGGAGGUGAAGAAGAGGAAGAGCUCCAUGCGGGCCAGGGGCUCCCCGAGGCAUGCGCGGCGGCCUGUGGGGAGGGG
rnacentral:lncRNA from 1 species